AGUCGCCGCGGCUCUCCAGGGUGGCGUUGUAGAUGUCAAAGUUUGCAAAGUCCUCGGGGAUGUACGCCUGGAAGCCGCCGGCGCCGUGUCGGACGUCCACUGCAGCGUCCUCCUCGUCGGAUUCCUGCAGAGGGCAGAAUCAGUGGGCGGGCCUCCAGGACUUUCUUCACCUUAUUCUCCUCCUUGACAGGCAGCAAGGACUUGAGGAACUUGGACGGCUGAGGGGAUAGAAGCUUGAAAGGACUGGAGUUGAAAAAUGUAGGACUCUCUGGAAAUGACCCUGAUCGGAGACAUUCGAGGGAGCCGUUCUGAGGAUUGCAGCUGUCACCAUGAUCACAGUUCUCCUUCAAAUCGAUACAUCGAACAUAUUAGCUCAACAAAUGAUCCCGUCUUUAAAAAAACUACAGCUGCAAAACAUGUGAUCAACAAACACGGUGUUGAAGCAUACCUCACAUACUUUGCGGUCUUCAUCCUCACAGCUAGUCAGGUCUGUUUUACUGCAGGAAGACUGGAGAGCAGGGAAAUUUGUUACUCAUGACACAUGUCAAAACUAUUAGUUCCUGAGAGGAAUGUGCUCAUUACAUGCGGGACAUUUGGUGUGCUGAGGCUUCUUCUGAGAUGUCUUCCCUUAGUAGAGAGUGCUUCCUUGACAGUCACAGCCUGUGGAAAAUAAUAUAAUGUAAAAAAAUAUAAUAUAAUAUCAUCUAUAUAAUAUAAAUUCAAAUAAUAUAAUGUUCUAUAAUUAUAGAGAUGGAUGGAUAAACAAUACAGUAAUAAUUGUAUUUUAAUUACAUUAUUAUACUGAGACAUGAAUUUGCCAAAAUAUCUAUUUGUCAAAUUGGUCAGAAUAAAUGAAUCAGAAUUUAGUAUCAGGUUGUGACAUGGGCAAUCCAUACGUCUCGACUGUACCUGCCGCAGCCUCUCCAAGCUGAGGAUAUUCUCCACUUGCAAAACUCCCCGAGUGUAUUUCUCAAUGUAGGUUUCUCCAUCCGGAGUCUCCUCGAUGUCUGCACGAGCAGCCAUGAGGGCCAAUGUUUCUCUCUCCUCUGGCUCCUCUGAGGCCUGACAUGAGGAACGAGGGGUUCAUUCCAAGACUUUGUUGAGUGUAUUUAUUAGAAUACAUGGAGAACAUGUUGCACCUUCGGUAUGUUGGAAACAAUCUCGUAGAUCACGCCGCAGGAGUGAAGCAUAUUCUUAAGCGACAUUCUCCUUUUGAGACUCUGUGUGAAACUCUGAAUAAGAGAAGUCAAAUUGAGUGAACAAACCAAACGCUCGAUGUAGUUGCGACAUUCCUGACACACCAACCUGCUUGUUGUAGAUGUUGACGGCGAUCCUUUUGCGGAGCACCAGCUCCAUUGAGGCAGGGUGGCUAAGUUGCACUGUGGUUUUCAAGAUCAGGUAGAUACGCUCGUGAGGAGACGUGACCCGAUUGAGAUGCACGGAAUCGUGGAUGGAUGAGUCCCAGGAACACACGGCUGACACCUGAAAAUAAUGAAAGGAAAACCUGAACGAUCCACUUGAGAAUGAUAUUUGUAAAAGUAGACGCGAAUUAGCUGCGCAGUUCCAUCUUUGAACACAGGGAGGCAGUAGACGCAAAGCGGUGACUCACCUCUUCCUCGCUGUGCUUGAUGAUGGGGAGAUAGAAAAACUGGCUUCCGUGCUCCUUGGGUAGGAUCGAGUUAACACCCGCAGCAUGAGGACCCGUCAGCUGCUCAUUCACUGUCAGAUUAUCAGCUAGUGGAACAAAACUUAUUGAUAUUAAAAUUCGAAAAUAUACAAUCAUUCAUUAUAUCAGCACAGUCUAAUCGACGAUAAUACAAAAAACAAAAAAGCGGAAUCUGCCAGCUUGGUUUUUAGGCCUAAUGUGGUGACUCCUGAUUCAAAUGUCAAGAAUGUGUGUGACUCACCAUUCAAAUCAAGGAAGAGGACUGGGAUAUGAGCUUCCAUUCCGGGAGGCGGAGUCCUGACAGGCAGAUGUUUGAAACACGGUUACAAAAAGCAACAGAUCAAAUGAAUUUGACGUAAAUAUGCCCGAAUUGUAUACCAGUCGGCGGGAGCUCCGGGGAUUCCGCUUCCGGGCGCAGGUACGAGCACGGCGUUUCUCUCCUCGGUCAGGCCGACCCAUUGCUCCACCAGACGGGCUUCCCGCUCAAUGUCUUCCUCUGACUUUUCUGAAUGGAUUGAGACCAAUCACGAGAACAAACCGUGUCGAGGGGUCGCUGCAAUUUGGAGGAGCGUAGAGUCACGCAGCCGAUGGAGACGGACAGCAUGGCCUCCACCAGCAGAGUUGGAAGACUCCUCCCGUGCUGAUGUCUUUUCCAGGCUGCAGCUCCACAGCGGCGUACUCUCCCUGUUCAUUGAGCUCCUGGAUGGAGACCCACAGCUCGAUCCUACGAGACACCUCGCUCCACCUUCAUGGAACGUGC